UACGGAGGGGGCUAGCGUUGUUCGGAAUUACUGGGCGUAAAGCGCACGUAGGCGGCUUUGUAAGUUAGAGGUGAAAGCCCGGGGCUCAACUCCGGAAUUGCCUUUAAGACUGCAUCGCUAGAAUUGUGGAGAGGUAAGUGGAAUUCCGAGUGUAGAGGUGAAAUUCGUAGAUAUUCGGAAGAACACCAGUGGCGAAGGCGACUUACUGGACACAUAUUGACGCUGAGGUGCGAAAUCGUGGGUAGCAAACAUG
rnacentral:rRNA from 1 species